rnacentral:rRNA from 1 species
ACGGCGAGUGAAGCGGCAAAAGCUCAAAUUUGAAAUCUGGUACCUUCGGUGCCCGAGUUGUAAUUUGGAGAGGGCAACUUUGGGGCCGUUCCUUGUCUAUGUUCCUUGGAACAGGACGUCAUAGAGGGUGAGAAUCCCGUGUGGCGAGGAGUGCGGUUCUUUGUAAAGUGCCUUCGAAGAGUCGAGUUGUUUGGGAAUGCAGCUCUAAGUGGGUGGUAAAUUCCAUCUAAAGCUAAAUAUUGGCGAGAGACCGAUAGCGAACAAGUACAGUGAUGGAAAGAUGAAAAGAACUUUGAAAAGAGAGUGAAAAAGUACGUGAAAUUGUUGAAAGGGAAGGGCAUUUGAUCAGACAUGGUGUUUUGUGCCCUCUGCUCCUUGUGGGUAGGGGAAUCUCGCAUUUCACUGGGCCAGCAUCAGUUUUGGUGGCAGGAUAAAUCCAUAGGAAUGUAGCUUGCCUCGGUAAGUAUUAUAGCCUGUGGGAAUACUGCCAGCUGGGACUGAGGACUGCGACGUAAGUCAAGGAUGCUGGCAUAAUGGUUAUAUGCCGCCCGUCUUGAAACACGGACCAAGGAGUCUAACGUCUAUGCGAGUGUUUGGGUGUAAAACCCAUACGCGUAAUGAAAGUGAACGUAGGUUGGGGCCUCGCAAGAGGUGCACAAUCGACCGAUCCUGAUGUCUUCGGAUGGAUUUGAGUAAGA